rnacentral:rRNA from 1 species
GACGAACCGUGCGAACGUUAUUCGGAAUCACUGGGCGUAAAGGGUGCGUAGGCGGGUCUUUAAGUCAGGGGUGAAAUCCUGGAGCUCAACUCCAGAACUGCCUUUGAUACUGAAGAUCUUGAGUUCGGGAGAGGUGAGUGGAACUGCGAGUGUAGAGGUGAAAUUCGUAGAUAUUCGCAAGAACACCAGUGGCGAAGGCGGCUCACUGGCCCGAUACUGACGCUGAGGUGCGAAAGCGUGGGGAGCAAACAGG